rnacentral:rRNA from 1 species
UACGUAGGGUGCAAGCGUUGUCCGGAAUUAUUGGGCGUAAAGAGCUCGUAGGCGCCCGAUCAGUCCGCUGUAAAAGUCCAGGGCUCAACCCUGGAAAGCCGGUGGAUACUGUCGGGCUAGAGUCCGGAAGAGGCGAGUGGAAUUCCUGGUGUAGCGGUGGAAUGCGCAGAUAUCAGGAGGAACACCGAUAGCGAAGGCAGCUCGCUGGGACGGUACUGACGCUGAGGUGCGAAAGCGUGGGGAGCGAACAGG